GCUUAGCUGCGGGGACGUUAACAAACCAUCACCAGUUGACACACGAAGUUGGUGGGAGAUGAUAAGCACAGCAUAAACACAAAAACAGACACACUGACACGGUCGAGAGAUCAGUCAUGUGACUCCAUCGUUGACUUGUCAGACUUGUGGUAGCGACAGAAGACAUCUUAAUUGUUCAUUCAAGAUUGUGUAACUACAAAUAGCCGUCUGGAAAAUGAUUACAGAUUACAAAUAACAUAUUCACGGAAUCAACGAAAUCACAGCGACCACAACAACAGCAAAUACAUAAGUCAUUUGACUGUGGCCAUGCUGGAGCACCGCCUUUUAGUCGAGCAAAUCAACCCCAGGACUAAUUCUUGUUGUGGUAGCUGUUGUUGUUGUUGUUUUUGUACUACGACCAUCACCACCGACCAAGAAAAGAUCCAAUAUAUUUAAAAGUUGAAAAACUGAGGAAUUUCGAUGUCUUGAAGAAGUCUAAUGUGGCAAUGUUAGGUAAAUGACUACUUUAGCAUCGCAGUAGAUAAAGAACUUCAGCAUAGCAUGACAGCUUUCAGAGAAGAAAUGUUCGCCAAAGUAGCUUUUUAGCUUUUACACUUCAUCGAUAAAGCGAGCCAAUUGAUUCCUACCAUAUUGCCUAGA